UCGGUAUGUACUGGCUUUACUGAUUCCUCCUUCUUGACGAACCGUGAUGUCAUUAAUUUGGUGUUGCGGGAAAUCAGGACUGUUACUUUGAAAAAAUUAGAGUGUUUAAAGCAGGCUAACGCUUGAAUACAUUAGCAUGGAAUAAUGAAAUAGGACGUUAAUCCUAUUUUGUUGGUUUCUAGGAUCGACGUAAUGAUUAAUAGGGAUAGUUGGGGGCAUUAGUAUUCAAUUGUCAGAGGUGAAAUUCUUGGAUUUAUUGAAGACUAACUACUGCGAAAGCAUUUGCCGAGGAUGUUUUCAUUAAUCAAGAACGAAAGUUAGGGGAUCGAAGACGAUCAGAUACCGUCGUAGUCUUAACCAUAAACUAUGCCAACAAGGGAUCGGAUGAUGUUAUUUUUAAUGACUCAUUCGGCCCCUUACG
rnacentral:rRNA from 1 species